rnacentral:rRNA from 1 species
GAGUUUGAUCGUGGCUCAGAUUGAACGCUGGCGGCAUGCCUUACACAUGCAAGUCGAGCGGCAGCGCGGGGGCAACCCUGGCGGCGAGCGGCGAACGGGUGAGUAAUACAUCGGAACGUGUCCUGUCGUGGGGGAUAACCAGUCGAAAGAUUGGCUAAUACCGCAUGACCUCGUAAGAGAAAAGCGGGGGACCGUAAGGCCUCGCGCGACUGGAGCGGCCGAUGUCGGAUUAGCUAGUUGGCGGGGUAAAAGCCCACCAAGGCGACGAUCCGUAGCUGGUUUGAGAGAACGACCAGCCACACUGGGACUGAGACACGGCCCAGACUCCUACGGGGGCAGCAGUGGGGAAUUUUGGACAAUGGGGGCAACCCUGAUCCAGCCAUGCCGCGUGUGUGAAGAAGGCCUUCGGUUGUAAG